rnacentral:rRNA from 1 species
UCGUGGAUUGAUUUGUCUGGUUAAUUCCGAUAACGAACGAGACCUUAAUCUGCUAAUUAGUUGGGCAAAGUCUAACUUUGUUUUUUCCAACUUCUUAGAGAGACAGCUGGCGUUUAGCCAAAGGAAGUUUGAGGCAAUAACA